GACGAACGCUGGCGGCGUGCUUAACACAUGCAAGUCGAACGAAGUGGCGAACGGGUGAGUAACGCGUAAUCAACCUGCCCUUCAGCGGGGGACAACAGUUGGAAACGACUGCUAAUACCGCAUACUGAAGGACGGGAUUGCGUCUGAUUAGCUAGUUGGUGGGGUAACGGCCCACCAAGGCGAUGAGCAGUAGCCGGACUGAGAGGAGGAACGGCCACAUUGGGACUGAGACACGGCCCAGACUCCUACGGGAGGCAGCAGUGGGGAAUCGUCCGAAAUGGACGAAAGUCUGACGGAGCAACGCCGCGGGAGUGAUGACGGCCUUCGGGUUGUAAAGCUCUGUUAAUCGGGACGCGGUACCGGAAUAGAAAGCCACGGCUAACUUCGUGCCAGCAGCCGCGGUAAUUC
rnacentral:rRNA from 1 species